AGGGCAACACUCCAAUGUCCACCACCUCCCCCGUGGCGUAUAGAGGCCGAGUAAUGUGAUUGCAAGCUCUCCUUGACCUGUGUCUUGGCUAAUCGGAGUUCCUCUUCGAUUUUAAGCUGUUGCCCAUUUGCCAGUUAGCCUGUUUAUCGUCGGGGCGACGAUAAAGAACGAGGGGGUAGAUUGUAGCCAGUUCACCUUGUUUCUGUCUUUUCCCCAUGUCUCCCUGUUUUCCCUACAUGUCCCACACUGGCCUGCUCCCGCUAACUAGGGGGGCGUGGUGAUUAGUUACACACCGGAGUUCGUUCGCACUGAUUACUGGCCGGACAGUAUAAAACCACCCAGGUACGAAGAAGCGUUGUAAGCUCUGCCUGUUUAACCCCCUAGCGUGUCGGAUUUAGUCAUCAGGUAUGUUGCAAUACUCCCGUUUGCUGCCAGACUAAUAACAUGGUUUAAUCAAUGUUUGUCUUCACCUGUAGCUUCGUGGUCACCGGCUAGUCUGCUCCUGCUGCCCGUGUGUUAGACACCAUCCCUUAUUCAUUCUACAGAUGUGGGGCCCUCUUUGAGGGAGGCUAGUCACCUGGUGGUGGGACCCUGUAGCUGCACAUUUGUGGUGUCAUUGUUGCUUGCGGUGGGCUGCUGUGUCACUGGUAAGUCACUUUCUUGCAGUGUGUAUGCACGUGUGAUGGCUGGAACUUAGAACACACCUCCAGUUAGUCUGUCUCCCUCAGGUAAGCCCCCAUCUGCUGUAUCUUUUUAGCUCCAGUGGAGCCUGGCCCCACUUUAGAAAUCACCUGUUCAUAUUGUAUCAUAAUAAAAGAACAAUAAUAAAUAUUUUUGUACUUUCAUAACCUCUGACUCGUUUCAGGUAUUAUUGCAGGACACUCCUCCCUUCCCCCCCCCCCUUUGGUUAUUUAAUAAACUUAUG